rnacentral:rRNA from 1 species
GACGUCGGGCGCGAGCGUUGUCCGGAUUUAUUGGGCGUAAAGAGCUCGUAGGCGGCUUGUCGCGUCGAAUGUGAAAUCCUGCGGCUCAACUGCAGGCUUGCAUUCGAUACGGGCAGGCUCGAGUUCGGUAGGGGAGACUGGAAUUCCUGGUGUAGCGGUGAAAUGCGCAGAUAUCAGGAGGAACACCGGUGGCGAAGGCGGGUCUCUGGGCCGAUACUGACGCUGAGGAGCGAAAGCGUGGGGAGCGAACAGG